AUGGUCAAGGAUGUCAUCCUCGACCUGUUCCUUGAGCUCUCUCGAGGAACAUUGGACGUCUCCCGCCUCAAUUACGGGAUCAUUUCCUUGAUCCCGAAGGUCCCGGGUGCGGCAGACAUUCGGCAGUUCCGGCCUAUCACAGUUCUCAACGUGCUUUUUCAGAUUCUGGCCAAGGGGUACGCCACUAGGGCGGCCCUGAUCGCCCCCCGGAUCCACCAUCUGAACCAGACGGCCUUCAUCAAAGGCCGAUAUAUUUUGGAUGGGAUCCUCGUUCUCCACAAGGUCAUUCAUGAAGUCAAGAGCGAACACCUCCGCGCGGUGUUCCUCAAGAUUGACAUCCAUAAGGCGUACGACACUGUACAUUGGUCCUUCCUUCGAGAGGUGAUGAUGAAGUGUGGUUUCGACCCACACUGGAUUGCUCGGGUUAUGCAGCUUGUUACGAGUGGGCGCACGGCUGUCAACAUAAAUGGGGAGGUCGGCUCGUACUUCCUGACUGGCCAGGGAGUACGGCAAGGGGACCCUCUCUCCCCAUUUCUCUUCAAUCUUGUGGUCGAUGCUCUGGCAACGGUCCUAGACUUGGCCAAACACGCUGGCCACAUUAGGGGGAUUUGCCCCCAUCUCGUGGGCGACGGAGGUUUGACCCACCUCCAGUAUGCGGACAACACCAACAUGAUGGUGGAAGGCUCGAACGAGGAUAUUCGGCACCUCAAGUUUCUCCUUCUCUGCUUUCAGGAGAUGUUGGGUCUCACGAUUAACUUUGCCAAAAGUGAGGUGAUGGUUCUUGGGUACUCUGAGGAGGAGGCUGUGACGACCCGAGACCGACGCUUCAGAAGCCUUCCAGUUAUUUCGUUGUUGUUGUUAUUUAAUUGUCUUCCUUGA
rnacentral:rRNA from 1 species